UCAGUUCGGACUGGAGUCUGCAACCCGACUCCACGAAGCUGGAUUCGCUAGUAAUCGCGCAUCAGCCACGGCGCGGUGAAUACCGUUCCCGGGCCUUGUACACACCGCCCGUCAAGCCAUGGGAGCCGGGGGUACCUGAAGUGCGUAACCGCGAGGAUCGCCCUAGGGUAAAACUGGUGACUGGGGCUAAGUCGUAACAAGGUAGC
rnacentral:rRNA from 1 species